AUUUUUGGCACUAUUUUGUUAGCUUGUCUUCUGUCUUUAAGCAUGAAACUGCAAGAUUAAUGAGAAAAAAUAAUGAGUUAAUUACUGUCUUACGACACUAAAUAGUCCUAAAAUAGUUACCGUUUAAACUUUAACUGAAAUCAAUGCACACCACUCCAUCCAACCUACCAAGAUGUUAUCAAAGAAGCUGAGAAGGUCAGCAAAGAUCUUCACCAGAAAUACAUCAAUCUACAUAAGCAAACCCAAAAGGCAAUUGCAAAAAUAAAGUGGGACCAGAUCCAGUUUAACAAAAAAAUUGACAGGCUGAAAAAAGAGCUCUCCACUAAUACAGAUGUAUUUGAAUACGCAAAUAAGAUGAUCCCCAGCAAACUGAAUACAGAUGAACCUAGUGAGGAACAGUGGAAAUCGAAUUCGCCCUCGCCUGAAGAGAUUCAGAUACAGGAAUGAUUUGUACAGAUCAGAAUCCUCACAUCAAUUACUAUCAGGU